rnacentral:rRNA from 1 species
GGUAGCGAAAUUCCUUGUCGGGUAAGUUCCGACCUGCACGAAUGGCGUAAUGAUGGCCAGGCUGUCUCCACCCGAGACUCAGUGAAAUUGAACUCGCUGUGAAGAUGCAGUGUACCCGCGGCAAGACGGAAAGACCCCGUGAACCUUUACUAUAGCUUGACACUGAACAUUGAGCCUUGAUGUGUAGGAUAGGUGGGAGGCUUUGAAGUGUGGACGCCAGUCUGCAUGGAGCCGACCUUGAAAUACCACCCUUUAAUGUUUGAUGUUCUAACGUUGACCCGUAAUCCGGGUUGCGGACAGUGUCUGGUGGGUAGUUUGACUGGGGCGGUCUCCUCCUAAAGAGUAACGGAGGAGCACGAAGGUUGGCUAAUCCUGGUCGGACAUCAGGAGGUUAGUGCAAUGGCAUAAGCCAGCUUGACUGCGAGCGUGACGGCGCGAGCAGGUGCGAAAGCAGGUCAUAGUGAUCCGGUGGUUCUGAAUGGAAGGGCCAUCGCUCAACGGAUAAAAGGUACUCCGGGGAUAACAGGCUGAUACCGCCCAAGAGUUCAUAUCGACGGCGGUGUUUGGCACCUCGAUGUCGGCUCAUCACAUCCUGGGGCUGAAGUAGGUCCCAAGGGUAUGGCUGUUCGCCAUUUAAAGUGGUACGCGAGCUGGGUUUAGAACGUCGUGAGACAGUUCGGUCCCUAUCUGCCGUGGGCGCUGGAGAACUGAGGGGGGCUGCUCCUAGUACGAGAGGACCGGAGUGGACGCAUCACUGGUGUUCGGGUUGUCAUGCCAAUGGCACUGCCCGGUAGCUAAAUGCGGAAGAGAUA